rnacentral:rRNA from 1 species
UCCUUUUGUAGAUAAUUUAAGGUCUAGCCUGCCCACUGAAAUUUUAAAUGGCCGUGGUAUUUUGACCGUGCUAAGGUAGCAUAAUCAUUAGUUUUUUAAUUAAAAACUGGAAUGAAAGGUUGGAUGAGAAAAUAGCUGUCUCUAUUAAAUUUAAUUAGAAUUUUAUUUUUAAGUUAAAAAGCUUAAUUAUUAUUAAAAGACGAGAAGACCCUAUAGAGUUUAAUUAUUUAGUAAAAAUUAUAUUUUAGUAUUAAUUUAUUUAUUUUAUUAAAUAAUUUAAUUGGGGUGAUUGAAAAAUUUAAUUAACUUUUUUUAUUUAAGAACAUUAAUUUAUGAGUAAAUGAUCCAAUAUUUUUGAUUAUAAGAUAAAAUUACCUUAGGGAUAACAGCGUAAUUUUUUUAGAAAGUUCAUAUUAAAAAAAAAGAUUGCGACCUCGAUGUUGGAUUAAAAUAAAUUUUUGGUGUAGAAGCUAAAAUAUUAGGUCUGUUCGACCUUUAAAAUUUUACAUGAU